AUGAACGCUGGCGGCGUGCCUAAUACAUGCAAGUCGAGCGAACAGACGAGGAGCUUGCUCCUCUGACGUUAGCGGCGGACGGGUGAGUAACACGUGGAUAACCUACCUAUAAGACUGGGAUAACUUCGGGAAACCGGAGCUAAUCCCGGAUAAUAUAUUGAACCGCAUGGUUCAAUAGUGACAGACGGUUUUGCUUUCACUUAUAUCUGGAUCCGCGCCGCAUUAGCUAGUUGGUAAGGUAACGGCUUACCAAGGCGACGAUGCGUAGCCGACCUGAGAGGGUGAUCGGCCACACUGGAACUGAGACACGGUCCAGACUCCUACGGGAGGCAGCAGUAGGGAAUCUUCCGCAAUGGGCGAAAGCCUGACGGAGCAACGCCGCGUGAGUGAUGAAGGUCUUCGGAUCGUAAAACUCUGUUAUUAGGGAAGAACAAAUGUGUAAGUAACUAUGCACGUCUUGACGGUACCUAAUCAGAAAGCCACGGCUAACUACGUG
rnacentral:rRNA from 1 species